rnacentral:rRNA from 1 species
UACGUAGGGUGCGAGCGUUAAUCGGAAUUACUGGGCGUAAAGCGUGCGCAGGCGGUUCGUUAAGUUCGUUGUGAAAGCCCUGGGCUCAACCUGGGAAUUGCAUUGGAUACUGGCAGGCUAGAGUGCGGUAGAGGAUGGCGGAAUUCCCGGUGUAGCAGUGAAAUGCGUAGAGACGGUCGGAGGAACAUCUGUGGCGAAGGCGGCCAUCUGGACCAGCACUGACACUGAGGCACGAAAGCGUGGGGAGCAAACAGG